CAGUAGUCACGAGUUUGAUCCUGGCUCAGAUUGAACGCUGGCGGAAUGCUUUACACAUGCAAGUCGAACGGUAGAGGGGGCAACCCCUUGAGAGUGGCGAACGGGUGAGUAAUAUAUCGGAACGUGCCCAGUCGUGGGGGAUAACGUAGCGAAAGUUACGCUAAUACCGCAUACGAUCUAAGGAUGAAAGCGGGGGAUCGCAAGACCUCGCGUGAUUGGAGCGGCCGAUAUCAGAUUAGGUAGUUGGUGGGGUAAAGGCUCACCAAGCCAACGAUCUGUAGCUGGUCUGAGAGGACGACCAGCCACACUGGAACUGAGACACGGUCCAGACUCCUACGGGAGGCAGCAGUGGGGGAAUAUUGGACAAUGGGCGAAAGCCUGAUCCAGCAAUGCCGCGUGAGUGAUGAAGGCCUUCGGGUUGUAAAGCUCUUUUACUCGGGACGAUAAUGACGGUACCGAGAGAAUAAGCCCCGGCUAACUCCGUG
rnacentral:rRNA from 1 species